GAAUCAAGUGAUGACAUGGAAUACUGCAACAAAAUGAUGGCUUUGAUUCCAUGAUUACCAGUAUUUAAGUCUCUGAUGAUU